UACGAAGGGGGCGAGCGUUGUUCGGAUUUACUGGGCGUAAAGGGCGCGUAGGCGGCGUGACAAGUCACUUGUGAAAUCUCUGAGCUUAACUCAGAACGGCCAAGUGAAACUGUUGUGCUAGAGUGCAGAAGGGGCAAUCGGAAUUCUUGGUGUAGCGGUGAAAUGCGUAGAUAUCAAGAGGAACACCUGAGGUGAAGACGGGUUGCUGGGCUGACACUGACGCUGAUGCGCGAAAGCCAGGGGAGCAAACGGG
rnacentral:rRNA from 1 species